CACAGAGCAGUGCUCACACGGCAGUAACUGUUCAGAGCUGGAUGGGCUGGGCUCUAACCUUAAGAUUUGCUUCCAUUUCAAUGGGAAUUCCAGGAGCUAUCUUAGAUGAGGAAGGACAAGGGACAAGGAAGAAAGCAUGUGACAGUGGCACCUGGACCUGAGAUCUACAAUUAAAUUAAAUCUUCUGAAUUAUCACUGAAGUUUCCUUCUGUUUCCAAAAGUCUAUCAUCCUCCUAAGAAUAAAAUAAAAUGAGAGCAUAAAUUUUUAGAAAUAGCAGUUGGAAGGCUACAAGCUGGCAUCAACUAAGCCAUCUGAAAUAAUUUUAAAUUUUAUUUGGGACAAAAGAUGAGCAAGGAAAGGAUGAGCCAACUUCUCGGGAAGCCAGUGAAAUGUUAACAGAUGCGGGAGGCAGCGGAACUUCUUCACUCUUAGAUUGCUUCCACAUCCACCCCGAAGGAGAGCGGGGAAGUCUUCAAGCUGUGGAAGGUAGAAGGAGUCGUCGUAAAUCACACAAUGACUGGCAGGGCUGGAAAGGACUCCUCCUCUGAAACAAUGGUUUUCCAGCAAGUCAGAGCACAUCGGCGGCGAGAAGCAGCUGUAUUACCCUACUGCUGAGCUCUGAAGCAUGACUAGGGAAUCAAUACUAGAGAUCACCUCCAGGAGUCAGCAGAUUCGUGGACACCAUAUUUUAUGGGAGACUACUGCCUCUCGGAGCUCUACUUACCACACCACAUUUUCUUAAUACGAUCCAAGAAGAUGUAAAGGAGGCCUACAAGAUGAAAGAGCAAGAAUUCUGGCUUGGAGAAGCUGUCGAACUAGUUCAACAGAAUUAGAAUUUCAUGAGAAACCUUGGGGACCAGAAGAAUAAGCAGGAGAUAUAAGUAAUCAGUCAUUCAAGAAGGCUGCGUGAGAGUCUCUGGGGACAAGCAGGUGAAUUGCGGAGGUGCCGGGAGGCCAUGAGAACGAAGAAGAAAGCAUGAGGAUGCAGUGAGAAGGAAGAAGGGAGGAGAGGGGAGUGGAUGAAGAUGGAAACAAACACAGAGAGAUAAUUAAAUCAGGUGACAACUGCAUGAGAAAACAAGAACUGCUAAGAAGAAGAUGACAUAGCAGCACUGUCACUUUAUGUGCCUGGGAGCACACAAUGGGUUUUGAACCCCAUCCUCUCUUGUACCCCUAAAGGGAACUCUAAAAGUAUUUUGACUUUCCAAAGCUUUUAUUGAUAAAGGAAGGACAUUCUACCUUCUCAAAGUAAAAUUUCACUUAGGAGAGGUACACGAUCAAGGCAGAAGUGUCAUAUACACAUUUGAGUCUUUUGUCCACAAAGAAACUAGUUCUACUAGCCUCUUUGGGGUAAGAACUAGUAGACCUAAGAAAGUUCUGUGAAGUCAACUUCCUUUCUAAACUACCAUGGGUCAGUAAAUAGUGUAAAACUUGUCAGUGUCUUCCAACCCUAGUAUUUGGAAUCCAACCAAAAGAGUCAGUGGGGGCAUGGUUCUCCUCCACCCUGGAACCCUUCCUCCACCUCACACCACAGGUGCAGAGCAAAGCAUGCAUUUUAAAGUCAUUUAUGCUUUUUACAGGAUGACCACAGAGUAUUAAACACUGUGCUUGUUGC